UGCAAGCCGAGCGGUAGGGUUUCUUCGGAAACCUGAGAGCGGCGCACGGGUGCGGAACACGUGUGCAACCUACCUUUAUCAGGGGGAUAGCCUUUCGAAAGGAAGAUUAAUACCCCAUAAUAUAUUAGAUGGCAUCAUUUGAUAUUGAAAACUCCGGUGGAUAGAGAUGGGCACGCGCAAGAUUAGAUAGUUGGUGAGGUAACGGCUCACCAAGUCAGUGAUCUUUAGGGGGCCUGAGAGGGUGAUCCCCCACACUGGUACUGAGACACGGACCAGACUCCUACGGGAGGCAGCAGUGCGGAAUAUUGGACAAUGGGUGAGAGCCUGAUCCAGCCAUCCCGCGUGAAGGAUGACGGCCCUAUGGGUUGUAAACUUCUUUUGUAUAGGGAUAAACCUUUCCACGUGU
rnacentral:rRNA from 1 species